GACGAACGCUGGCGGCGUGCCUAAUACAUGCAAGUGGGACGCAAGGGAACACACUGUGCUUGCACACCGUGUUUUCUUGAGUCGCGAACGGGUGAGUAACGCGUAGGUAACCUGCCUAUUAGCGGGGGAUAACUAUUGGAAACGAUAGCUAAUACCGCAUAAUAUUAAUUAUUGCAUGAUAAUUGAUUGAAAGAUGCAAGCGCAUCACUAGUAGAUGGACCUGCGUUGUAUUAGCUAGUUGGUAAGGUAAGAGCUUAUCAAGGCGACGAUACAUAGCCGACCUGAGAGGGUGAUCGGCCACACUGGGACUGAGACACGGCCCAGACUCCUACGGGAGGCAGCAGUAGGGAAUCUUCGGCAAUGGACGAAAGUCUGACCGAGCAACGCCGCGUGAGUGAAGAAGGUUUUCGGAUCGUAAAGCUCUGUUGUAAGUCAAGAACGUGUGUGAGACGUGGAA
rnacentral:rRNA from 1 species